rnacentral:rRNA from 1 species
UACAGAGGGUGCUAGCGUUGUUCGGAAUCACUGGGCGUAAAGCGCACGUAGGCGGAUGUGCCAGUCAGGGGUGAAAUCCCGGAGCUCAACUUCGGAACUGCCUCUGAUACAGCACGUCUUGAGUCCGGAAGAGGUGGGUGGAAUUCCUAGUGUAGAGGUGAAAUUCGUAGAUAUUAGGAAGAACACCGGUGGCGAAGGCGGCCCACUGGUCCGGUACUGACGCUGAGGUGCGAAAGCGUGGGGAGCAAACAGG